rnacentral:rRNA from 1 species
UGAGGAAUUUUCUGCAAUGGGCGAAAGCCUGACAGAGCAAUACCGCGUGAGGGAUGAAGACUUACUGAGUUGUAAACCUCGGUGCCUUAAGGAAGAAGAUAUGACGGUACUUAAGGUGGAAAGCAUCGGCUGACUCCGUGCCAGCAGCCGCGGUAAGACGGGGGAUGCAAGUGUUAUCCGGAAUCACUGGGCGUAAAGCGUGCGCAGGCGGUCAGACAAGCCAGAUGUGAAAGCCCCGAGCUCAACUUGGGAACUGCGUUUGGAACUGUUUGACUAGAGUGCGUCAGAGGGGGGUAGAAUUCCACGUGUAGCAGUGAAAUGCGUAGAUAUGCGGAGGAACACCAAUGGCGAAGGCAAUCCCCUGGGCCUGCACUGACGCUCAUGCACGAAAGCGUGGGGA